CUGGGCUGGUGCCGGGGGCUGGGGUGUGAGCUCAGAAAUGAGGGGUUCAGGAUGCAGAAGGGGGCUCUGGGCGGGUGCAGAGGGUUCGGGUGUGGGAGGUGGGGUGAGCUCAGAAAUGAGGGGUUCAGGAUGCAGGAGGGGGCUCUGGGCUGGUGCAGGGGGUUGUGGGGUGGGCUCAGAAAUGAGGGGUUCAGGAUGCAGAAGGGGGCUCUGGGCUGGUGCAGGGGGCUGGGGUGUGGUGGGGUGAGCUCAGAAAUGAGGGGUUCAGGAUGCAGAAGGGGGCUCUGGGCUGGUGCAGGGGGUUGUGGUGUGGGAGGUGGGGUGAGCUCAGAAAUGAGGGGUUCAGGAUGCAGAAGG